GUAUGUGUGUGCGACAGGCACUGAGCGUGCUCGAAGAUACGUUUUUUUUUUUUUUUUGUCAACCAGGUGGCUUGGAGAAGGCGGAAUAUAUCUAGAUUUAGAUGUAUAGUGAUAGUGACUGACAGAAAGUGUGCAUCGCUCAACAUGGAAAUGUUUUGUAAAGGUGGUUACAUCUCUUGGGAGACACUGGUCUAUAUAACAGCAGAGCUAAAAUACUUGAUGUUCAAUCGAGAAUCAUAGCAGCUGACGGUGGGAUGUCCAAUUGAUGAUAUUACUUAUGAACUUGCUGAAUCUGUCCUGGAUUGACAAACUGGAUAUUGAAAGAGUGUUAACACCUGACAUCAAAGAUCACAUAAACUCUUUAACCAUAAUGUUGAUGCAAGAAACUGAAAGAUUCAAUAAACUGCUUAUAAUAAUCAAGACAUCAUUAGAACAACUGAAAAAAGCCAUCAAAGGUUUCGUAGUGAUGAGUGAGGAAUUGGAGAAUGUAUACAAUGCUUUUUUAAAUAACCAUGUCCCAGAAUUAUGGGCCAGAAACGCUUAUCCUUCGUUAAAGUCUUUAGCAUCUUGGGUUAAAGACCUGAUAAUGAGAUGUUGUUUUAUUGACAAUUGGAUCAAUAAUGGACCUCCUAAGUCUUUUUGGUUGUCUGGCUUCUUCUUUCCACAAGUUUGCCUGUAAUGCACAUGGAUCCUCGCCUAGACUAUGAACCAGAUUUAUCUCUCUAUCCAGCACCACUCUACAAAACAGCUGCAAGAGCUGGCACACUUUCCACUACAGGACAUUCUACUAACUUUAUUGUAACUGUCCACCUUCCUUCAAGCAACACACAAGAUUACUGGAUAGCCAAAGGUGCAGCACUCUUAUGUCAAAUUUCUGAUUAAUUUUGCUUACAGAUAAGUUGUAAAGCAUUUAACAAUAAAAACAAUGUCCAUUACAAA